UGACAUUCUAAGACUAAACAAUCACAUUGUCAAAGUCUUGAAGCUAUGAGAUAAUGCAUGAUUAAUUCAAAACAAUGUGAAUAAAUAAGGAUUUCAUUUAACAGA